CCUCCCGCUCCUCUCCUCUCUGCGACUCCACCCUGGAUGCGCUCGCGCCCCCAGGCGAGGCCGCGGUGACGAGGCCGGAGGAGGCGCGGCGGCGCAGAGGGUCGCGGUGGCGGGCCGGAGGAGGCGUGGCGGCGCGCGAGGACGGCCGGAUCAUGGUGGGCGGCGGAUUUCGAGCGCAGGCGACGGCGACCUUGAGCGGUGGGUUCAAUCCCACCUCGCGAUUGCCGGCGUCCUUACAGGUUUGCAGCGGGAUCCUGGGCCGCGCACUGCUGGGAGUCGAACUGCGGCGGCGCCGGAGCCGGAGCCGCGAGUCGCCGUCGAGCGUGUCCUUUCCUCUCCUCUAGCCCACACAGCCUCCAUCUUCUUCUUCCUCCCGCACAUAAGUGACGGACACGGAUGGCGGCGGCCCAGCGACGGUAGCCUCCCUCUGGAUCUUCUCUCGUUGCCCUCUUGUUGAAGCCACCGAGGGGGACAAAGGACGCGUACCCAAGACAACGCGCUCACAGUGGCGCAGAUCCCCCUGUUGCCUGGUGCCGGCAGUAUGUUGCCCUGUCCCUUUCGGUUGGGUUGGCCGGCGGGAGCGAGUGAAAGGGGAUCGUGAGGGGAUAGUGCACUGCAGGUAAGCUUGCAGGGGAAGAAAUUCGAUGGAGGAGCUCACACAGAGAGGUUACGCAAUAUUUACAUUACAUUUCCUUGCUGAUGAGCGACACUAACCUAAUGAUGUAUUUCUCAUAGAUUUUCAUUUCCUUGGUACUCAAGUUCAAUAGAUUCAUCUCAUAAUCUUGCCACUGACAAUAGCUCUUGCAACUUUGCAAGCUUACAUAUGUUGAUUACCUAGGGUAAUGCAAUUGUGCAAACCGCGAGCACCACCGCUGGAUCAAUAAGAAUCCAGACAUGCCACAUGAAGGAAAGUUUGCUAAAGCUCUUUAAUUGGGACGGUGGGAUCUGCUUUGUUUUCCCUUCUUGGGUUCUCCUUUUAUAAUCUUGGGUGCCAGCAUAUCAAAGACAGUCUAUGUACUUUCCCGAGAAUGAAAUGUUGUUAUAUUUAUGGGUUCUUGUCUGGGUGCCAUGAUUUAACUUUCUUUGCACUAUCUCUUACCAGUGUUUGUUCUUUCUCAGGCUGUGAGGCCUGAGUUUUUGACUUGCACCUUUGGCAGGUCAUUGAAAUCAGAACCCCGUCAACUCUGAAGCGGCUGCUACAUCAAUUUCUAUAACUCACAGAAUUCCCUACUUCAAUUGCACAUGCAUGCUUGAUGGAUAUGAGGAUAUCUUGUACGAGUUAACGAAUUCUAGCAUUAAGUCAUACUUCCUGAAGACGUAGUUGAUUAUGAAACUCAGACACUGUAACCUUAGACCAGAUCAGAAGCAACAUUUGUACAUGCCCCGUUCCAGAAUAUGCAGAGAAGAUGAUUGCUGCAAUUGAUGAAGUACGAGUUGAUAGAAAUUAGAUUGGUGGGACGGUCACAUGUAUUGCGAGAAAUGUUCCUCGUGCUCGGGAAUGAUAUACAAUUAUGUUGGGUACUUGCUGUGGGAUUUUUCACCUUUCGUGUACCUGGUAAGUCUUGGAGCGAGUAGUGGAUGGCGUGGAUGGCCACGACAGAGUCGACGGUGGAGGCGGCCGCUAGCUCAGGGUGUCACGUCCAUGGUCAUCCUGUCUGCUGUUUGCAGCACGGAUGUCGUAGAUGGCGUGUAGGCCAACCUUGACCAGCAACGUAGGUGCAGGUCAUUUCCCCAUAAUGGCAACUGUGGCGACGGAGAGGUACAGUCGCCGCCGUGGACUGCUGCAGAUGGCGCUUUGCCUUGGGAUGGUGAUGCUGCUUCCCCUGUGGGACGGGGUAUGUUAACCGAGUGUGUGUUUUUGUCAUCACUGUACUUAUGCAGAGUGUUCAUCUAAAAGGAGCUCACUCAUGAAGUUAGAACUUUCUCAACUGCAGAAUACUACUUUUCUUUUAGGGAAAACUGCAGAAAGUUGGCAUAUAAAUGGGAGCAUGUUCGAAUGCUUUUACCUCCUUAAUCAGUCCAUGCAAUAAUUCUUACAUUUGGAUGCA